rnacentral:lncRNA from 1 species
AAAUGCAAAAGCCUGGAAAGACAUCUCCAAAGGCCAAUCUCAGGUUGGACAAUCGUGAGCUGGGGAAGCUGCAAACACUGUGACCUCCGGAAUAACCGCUGGCAUCAGAGGCAACCCCGCGGCUCCUGCCAACGGUCGGGGCCCCUCGGGGACCAGCCCUUCGCGGGGCUGCUGCCAAAAAACCUCAGUCGGGAGGAGCUGGUUGAUGCGCUGCGGGCAGCCGUGGUGGACCGGAAAGGACCUCUAGUGACGUUGAACAAGCCACAGGGUCUACCAGUGACAGGAAAACCAGGAGAGCUGACGUUGUUCUCAGUGCUGCCAGAGCUGAGCCAGUCCCUAGGGCUCAGGGAGCAGGAGCUUCAGGUUGUCCGAGCAUCUGGGAAGUAAGUGGUAGGGGUGACAGGAAGCUAGGAGUACAGGCAUCCAUCUGUGGUGGGGAAACAGCUGCUUGGGGAUAAGCUGAGACAUUUUCCAUGGGAAGGUUUGAGAUCAUAGAGGUGGAUACAAGUACUGUGAAGAAGAGGAAGCCGAUGGCUCUGGGUUCAAAUCCUCAAGUACAAAUGGUGUGAUACCAGGCAAAGCAUGACACCUCCCUGACGCUGGGCACAGUGACUCACACCUGUAAUCCCA